rnacentral:lncRNA from 1 species
CGCGGGUGUCCACGGCAUAGUCGGGGUUAAGCCACUUAGUCAUGAAGGCAAGUGAAUGCACAACAAGGAAUCUCUAAUCCUCGUUAAGAGAGGAUGAAUACUCUAAGAUAUGAUUCUGGAAUCUUCGGCCGAAGUAUCGAGCGUAAUGAAUGAAAGCAUUCCUAUACAACUCAAUUGAAUCAUAUAAGAAGGAAUAAUCACAUUAGGGGUUUGACAUAAUAUAUCCAUACCCUAGUG